AGUGAACGCUGGCGGUAGGCCUAACACAUGCAAGUCGAACGGCAGCACAGUAAGAGCUUGCUCUUACGGGUGGCGAGUGGCGGACGGGUGAGGAAUACAUCGGAAUCUACUUUUUCGUGGGGGAUAACGUAGGGAAACUUACGCUAAUACCGCAUACGACCUACGGGUGAAAGCAGGGGAUCUUCGGACCUUGCGCGAUUGAAUGAGCCGAUGUCGGAUUAGCUAGUUGGCGGGGUAAAGGCCCACCAAGGCGACGAUCCGUAGCUGGUCUGAGAGGAUGAUCAGCCACACUGGAACUGAGACACGGUCCAGACUCCUACGGGAGGCAGCAGUGGGGAAUAUUGGACAAUGGGCGCAAGCCUGGUCCAGCCAUACCGCGUGGGUGAAGAAGGCCUUCGGGUUGUAAAGCCCUUUUGUUGGGAAAGAAAAGCAGCAGGUUAAGACCCCGCUGUUCUGACGGUACCCAAAGAAUAAGCACCGGCUAACUUCGU
rnacentral:rRNA from 1 species